AACGAGUUAUCUGAACCUUCGGGGAACGAUAACGGCGUCGAGSGGCGGACGGGUGAGUAAUGCCUAGGAAAUUGCCCUGAUGUGGGGGAUAACCAUUGGAAACGAUGGCUAAUACCGCAUGAUGCCUACGGGCCAAAGAGGGGGACCUUCGGGCCUCUCGCGUCAGGAUAUGCCUAGGUGGGAUUAGCUAGUUGGUGAGGUAAGGGCUCACCAAGGCGACGAUCCCUAGCUGGUCUGAGAGGAUGAUCAGCCACACUGGAACUGAGACACGGUCCAGACUCCUACGGGAGGCAGCAGUGGGGAAUAUUGCACAAUGGGCGCAAGCYURAKGMAGCCAUGCCGCGUGUGURAGGAAGGCCUUCGGKUUGUAAAGCACUUUCGGCGGGGAGGAAGGMGGSGUGGUUAAUAGCUGCUUUUUUUGACGUUAGCAACAGAGGAKGCACCGGUUAACUCCGUGCCAGCAGC
rnacentral:rRNA from 1 species